rnacentral:rRNA from 1 species
AGUAACGCGUGAGGAACCUGCCUCAAAGAGGGGGACAACAGUUGGAAGCGACUGCUAAUACCGCAUAAGCCCACGGCUCGGCAUCGAGCAGAGGGAAAAGGAGUGAUCCGCUUUGAGAUGGCCUCGCGUCCGAUUAGCUAGUUGGUGAGGUAACGGCCCACCAAGGCGACGAUCGGUAGCCGGACUGAGAGGUUGAACGGCCACAUUGGGACUGAGACACGGCCCAG